rnacentral:lncRNA from 1 species
GAAAACUCUCCAGCGUAGAAUUCAGGAACCCUGAGUUUUCUAUCUCUGUCUAGUUCUGGACUGAAUGGGCUCAAGUCAUCUAGUUAACCUCUCUGGAUUUCAGUCUUCUGAAAAGUGAAGCUAAGAGAUCUAGCAUUCUGCAGAAAAGUACUGGAGAUGACUCAGGACUGAAAAUGAUCAUGAAGCCCCUUUGCAAAUAUCAAAGUGGUGAUGAAGCAGUCAUGAACUUUGACCAGAAGCCGUGUUUUGUGGGAUUGCCACUUUAAUCGCUCCUGUUCAUCAUUAGGACUGCAGCCAGAGUGUGGAAGGAGUGACAGCACAGAGGAAGAGAUGGUCCAAGACCAAAGAGGAAAGAAAUGGCAUAAGAUGGGACAGUGUUCUAUGAUCUCUAACUGGCCAAAGAAAAAUGAGAAACAAAUUUAAAAGAAGACAGUUGGAUGACUUAAACACCACCCCUGAGAGGCAGCUGUUUCCAGAAUAUUGCACAAUUUAUUGAGUUCAUGAGAAUCGUGAUCGUUGGCAGCACCGAACUUCACGGAGGGAAUCAUAGGCACUUUAAUUCCAAUUUGUUGACUUAUGGAGGAAGAAAUUUCUCCCAGUGGUGUCCCUUCAUCCAGGAACAAGAGCCAUCAAAGUGUCACAGACUUAGAGCCGGAAGGGCUCUCCGCUAGUGUUUCUGCCAGUCCUCUUGGUUUUACACAUGAGGAAACUGAGGCCCAGAGAAGUUACCCAGUAGCAGAUCUGCAAGUCACCCAGUAGCAGAUCUGCAAGGAGCUCUUAGCAAUCCUGACUCCAAGUGUAAUGCUCUUGCAUUAGCUCUGUGCUGCCUCCUAGAUGUUGGUCUUCUUAAUGUUGAUAGCACAUUUGCUCAAAUGUUUGCUAAUAUGGUUUGGCUGUGUCCUCACCCAAAUCUCAUCUUGAAUUGUAGUUCCCAUAAUCCCCACUUGUCGUGGCAGGGACCCAGUGGGAGGUAAUUUAAUCAUGGGUGUGGUUACCCUCAUGCUGUUCUCAUGAUAGGGAGUGAAGUCUCACGAGAUCUGAUGGUUUUAUAAACAAGAGUUCUCCUGCACAAGCUCUGUUGCCUGCUGCCAUGUAAGAAGUCCCUUUGCUCUUCCUUCAUCUUCCGCCAUGAUUGUGAGGCCUCCCCAGCCAUAAGGAACCAUGAGUUCAUUAAACCUCUUUUUUUAUAAAU